UCCGCCAUCCCUCCAGACGGGGAGGAGUGACGAAAAUAACAAUACGGGACUCUUUCGAGGCCUCGUAAUUGGAAUGAGUACACUUCAAACCCUUUAACGAGGAUCUAUUGGAGGGCAAGUCUGGUGCCAGCAGCCGCGGUAAUUCCAGCUCCAAUAGCGUAUAUUAAAGUUGUUGCAGUUAAAAAGCUCGUAGUUGGAUCUCGGGUUUGGGCGGGCGGUCCGCCUCGCGGCGGUUACUGCACGACCCGACCUA
rnacentral:rRNA from 1 species